rnacentral:rRNA from 1 species
UACGGGGGGGGCAAGCGUUGUUCGGAAUUACUGGGCGUAAAGGGCUCGUAGGCGGCCAACUAAGUCCGACGUGAAAUCCCAAGGCUUAACCUUGGAACUGCGUCGGAUACUGGUUGGCUUGAAUUCGGGAGAGGGAUGCAGAAUUCCAGGUGUAGCGGUGAAAUGCGUAGAUAUCUGGAGGAAUACCGGUGGCGAAGGCGGCAUCCUGGACCGACAUUGACGCUGAGGAGCGAAAGCUAGGGGAGCAAACGGG